rnacentral:rRNA from 1 species
AUACGGAGGAUCCGAGCGUUAUCCGGAUUUAUUGGGUUUAAAGGGUGCGCAGGCGGCCAUUUAAGUCAGCGGUUAAAUCGCGGGGCUCAACCCCAUUCUGCCGUUGAUACUGGGUGGCUUGAUUGCGGUCGAGGUUGGCGGAAUUCGUUGUGUAGCGGUGAAAUGCAUAGAUAUGACGAAGAACACCGAUUGCGUAGGCAGCUGACCAGAUCGUAAAUGACGCUCAUGCACGAAAGUGCGGGGAUCGAACAGGAUUAGAUACCCUGGUAGUCCGCACAGUAAACGAUGAAUACUUGUUGUCGGCGAUAUAAUGUCGGAGGCAAAGCGAAAGUGAUAAGUAUUCCACCUGGGGAGUACGCCGGCAACGGUGAAACUCAAAGGAAUUGGCGGGG